rnacentral:rRNA from 1 species
GACGGACGCUGGCGGCGUGCUUAACACAUGCAAGUCGAACGGAAAGGCCCUGCUUUUGUGGGGUGCUCGAGUGGCGAACGGGUGAGUAACACGUGAGUAACCUGCCCUUGACUUUGGGAUAACUUCAGGAGACUGGGGCUAAUACCGGAUAGGAGCUCCUGCUGCAUGGUGGGGGUUGGAAAGUUUCGGCGGUUGGGGAUGGACUCGCGGCUUAUCAGCUUGUUGGUGGGGUAGUGGCUUACCAAGGCUUUGACGGGUAGCCGGCCUGAGAGGGUGACCGGCCACAUUGGGACUGAGAUACGGCCCAGACUCCUACGGGAGGCAGCAGUGGGGAAUAUUGCACAAUGGGCGGAAGCCUGAUGCAGCAACGCCGCGUGCGGGAUGACGGCCUUCGGGUUGUAAACCGCUUUCGCCUGUGACGAAGCGUGAGUGACGGUAAUGGGUAAAGAAGCACCGGCUAACUACGU